CAGCCCUGCGGACCCGGCUUGAUCCUGCCUGCGACUUUCCAGAACAAUUAGCUCGGGCCGGAGUGCUGUAGGUUGAUGCGGGAUCCGGAGGGGUGGCAUCGCGACCCCUCCCUCAGCCCGUUGGGCGGCUGGGGGCGGAGACGUGACCUGGCCCGCUAGCCGAUUGUUUGCAGGCGUAGUCAGGAGGACUCCCGGAGCUCGCCAGGGCUGUAGCCUACUUUCCCAGCAGUUCUCCGGGAGCCCAUGAGUCCGCAGCAGUGCCCAGGGCACCUCCUCCAGACCUCCGAGCUCUGAGGACUUUUUUCAAUUCUAGAAGUUUUUCUUUUUAAAAAUUUUGCUGUGUGGCCAAGUGUCAUGGCUCAUGCCUGUAAUACCAGCACUUUCGGAGGUCAAGAAGGAAGGAUCACUUGAGGCCAGGAGACUGAGACCAGCCUGUGCAACAUAAUAAGACUCUGUCUCUACCAAAAGAAAAAAAAAUCGGCAAUCUGGCCAGUCCUGGUGUCUGAGUGAUUCCCAGGGCCCAGCAAAGGACCAAGUUUCCAGAGCCCUGAAGACAAGGGGUAACACACCAAAAUAUGGACUCAUUUUCCACUCCACCUUCAUUGGCCGAGCAGCUGCCAAGAACAAAGGCCGAAUCUCCCGAUACCUGGCAAACAAAUGCAGUAUUGCCUCACGAAUCGAUUGCUUUUCUGAGGUACCCACGAGUGUAUUUGGGGAGAAGCUUCGGGAACAAGUUGAGGAGUAGCUGUCCUUUUAUAAGACUGGAGAGAUUCCACGAAAGAAUCUGGAUGUCAUGAAGGAAGCAAUGGUUCAGGCAGAGGAAGCGGCUGCUGAAAUCCCUAGGAAACUGGAGAAACAGGAGAAGAAACGCUUGAAGAAGGAAAAGAAAUGACUGGCUGCACUUGCCUUCACUUCUUCAGAAAACAGCAGUAGCACUCAGGAGAAGUGUGAGGAUACAGUGGAAAAACCCAAAAAGAAAAAAAAGCAAAAGCCCCAGGAGGUUCCUCAGGAGAAUGGAAUGGAAGACCACCCAUCUAUCCCUGUCUCUAAACCCAAGAAAAAGGAAUCUUUUUCCAAGGAGGAGUUGGUUAGUAGUGAUCUUGAGGAGGCCACUAGCAUUGUAAGUCCCCCCAAGAAGAAGAAAGCUUCACCCAAGGAGGAAAUAGUAGUUAGUGAUCCUGAAGAGGCAGGCAACAAGAGCAUGUCUAAGAAAAAGAGGAAAUUCUCCUCUAAGGAGGAGAUAGUCAGCAGCGGGCCGGAACAGGUUGUAGGCAUCAAAAGCAGCUUCAAGAAGAAAAAGUUCCACAAAGAUCCCCGGGAAGAUUAGAAUGGACAUUCCCUGUGAGGAAGGGGUAUCCCAUACCCCACAGAGACAUUUCCCACCCUGUGUCCCAUGCCUCAAUAAAAACAAA